GUUUGGAAUACUUGGGGAGUAUUCUCUGAUGUUGAUACAUCUUUCAUUCGUGUUGUAAGUUAAGGCCUAUUUUGGCUCUAUUGGGCGCUACUUCAAUUGUGGAAGUUUAUUUUUGGUUCCUCCUGAUUGGUGGCGUCCCGUGUCAAUCACGUGGGGAGCUUUCUUUUGCAACAGAACCUCUCUUUAGUUAACUAGCAGAAACAAGGGAGCCAUCGGGUAUAACUUCCGCUGCAAACUAAACUGAAGGGGUAAUGUCACCGGUGAUCCAGAUGCCGAGGCUGAAGCUUGAGGAGAGUGGGGCACAGACACAGGCUCACAGAAAAUCUACCUACAGUAGAUGUGCGUGAGAAACCACCUGUAUUUGGUCAAGUAACUCUGCAGCAUUUUCCAAGCAGCAACUUACUGGUCGGUCUGUGAACUUUGGACAAGGGCCUGGAAAGUGCUUUCACAUCUUUCGUGGGCCACAAUCUGUGGGUCAAACCUGGAGCAGAGGAUUACUGUUUACUUGGUGUUAUCUCUGUCACUGACUGAGAAUUCCCCUUCGGAAGACAAAGGAUUAAACUGUCGCUUUGGAGCGUGUGUGUCAGCUCAUCAUCUGUUAUCAAAAUCAAGUCAACUGUAUUUAUUUGAUCACCAGACUGUUUUGCUGUCUAAACAACUUAAGUUAAAGUGGCUUGUACUGCUCAUUCUUGCUGUCAGAAUUUGCUACUUCUGUUAAAAUUUUGAUUUUUGUCAGUUAAAGAUUCUUUAAUGACGAAAGGAAAGGAAAACCUUUCCAUCAGUCCUGUACAUUCUUGGAUUUCCUUCCUGUUUACAGUGUGAAACAAUUCUCUUUUACCAACAUAGAUCAACUCAAUAGGUUAUUUUGUAUUUUUUGAAUGAAGCCAGGAGGCCCAAUGAAAUCUUCUACUGUUUGCCCCUUU